rnacentral:rRNA from 1 species
GAGUUUGAUCGUGGCUCAGAUUGAACGCUGGCGGCAUGCCUUACACAUGCAAGUCGAACGGCAGCACGGGAGCUUGCUCCUGGUGGCGAGUGGCGAACGGGUGAGUAAUGCAUCGGAACGUAUCCUGGAGUGGGGGAUAACGUAGCGAAAGUUACGCUAAUACCGCAUAUUCUGUGAGCAGGAAAGCGGGGGACCUUCGGGCCUCGCGCUCUUGGAGCGGCCGAUGUCGGAUUAGCUAGUUGGUGAGGUAAAGGCUCACCAAGGCGACGAUCCGUAGCAGGUCCGAGAGGAUGAUCUGCCACACUGGAACUGAGACACGGUCCAGACUCCUACGGGAGGCAGCAGUGGGGAAUUUUGGACAAUGGGGGCAACCCUGAUCCAGCCAUGCCGCGUGAGUGAAGAAGGCC